GACGAACGCUGGCGGCGUGCUUAACACAUGCAAGUCGAACGACGAAGCCUAGCUUGCUAGGUGGAUUAGUGGCGAACGGGUGAGUAAUACGUGAGUAACCUACCUUUAACUCUGGGAUAAGCCUGGGAAACUGGGUCUAAUACCGGAUACGACCAAUCUCCGCCUGGGGUGUUGGUGGAAAGCGUUAUGUAGUGGUUAUAGAUGGGCUCACGGCCUAUCAGCUUGUUGGUGAGGUAACGGCUCACCAAGGCGACGACGGGUAGCCGGCCUGAGAGGGUGACCGGCCACACUGGGACUGAGACACGGCCCAGACGCCUGCGGGAGGCAGCAGUGGGGAAUAUUGCACAAUGGGCGAAAGCCUGAUGCAGCGACGCCGCGUGAGGGAUAAAGGCCUUCGGGUUGUAAACCUCUGUUAGCAGGGAAGAAGAGAAAUUGACGGUACCUGCAGAGAAAGCGCCGGCUAACUACGUG
rnacentral:rRNA from 1 species